rnacentral:rRNA from 1 species
AGCGGCAGACGGGUGAGUAACGCGUGGGAAUCUACCCUUUUCUACGGAAUAACGCAGGGAAACUUGUGCUAAUACCGUAUGAGCCCUUCGGGGGAAAGAUUUAUCGGGAAAGGAUGAGCCCGCGUUGGAUUAGCUAGUUGGUGGGGUAAAGGCCUACCAAGGCGACGAUCCUAAGCUGGUCUGAGAGGAUGAUCAGCCACAUUGGGACUGAGACAC